UUUGAAAGGGGGGAAACCCAGUGUGGCCAGAGGCCUUUAGACCCAGCACUCUGGAGCGCGGGUGGAGCAUUUCGAGUUUGAGGCCGAAGGCUACGUAGUUUGUGAUUGUGUUUUGUUUUGUUUUGUUGUUGAGACGGGGUCUCUAUAGCCCUAGCUGGGCUCGAAGUUACAGAUAUCCAACUAUAUUCCCCCUCCUCAUGCUGCUGGGAUUAAAAGCGUGUGCUACCACGCCGGGCUCCAAGGCUACAUAUAGAAUGAGACCCUGACUCAAAAAAUAAAAAGUAAAGUAAAAUGUUUUCGGAAGUUCUACAGCUAAGUUGAGCAGAUUGGAAGUCGGGAUCUCAGCCGCGCUGGGACAAAUUUAAAGGCUCCUUGCCCGCCAGCCGGGCUUCAUCAAGCUCCCGUUCAGUGGAAGCCAGCUCUCUUGACAGUGCCCCUGGCACACUCUGCUCCCGGCUCACCCAGUCCAAAGCCAUUUGGUGGCGAAUAUCAUCAUCCAGGGCCCGAUGUGAAUAAUGAGCCAACACCUCCUGGUCAGAGAGGAAUGCAAAGACCACUGAGAAGGUGACUCUUACCUGUCGAGAGCACUGCCUCUCCCUCAUGGCCUUAAGGCUGCCAUUCCAGUGCAGCAGCUGAAAAACUGUCAUCAGCUCCUGGGGGAAGAAGAGAGGAAACACCAGUGUGAAGGCCAUUUUUUGUUGUCAACCUGAUGAUAACCCUGGAACUAAAACCCAAUGUGCUGGGUAAGCCUGUGAGGGAUGUUUCUUGAUUGGGUCAUUUGAGGAGGGAAGACAUCCCCACUCCCACCCACUUAAGUCUGGGCCACACCUCAUGGCAGUCUCUAUGAAGGACAUGAAGAAGGAAGCUUGCUCUCUAUGCCUGCUCGCUCUUGCCCUCGCCAGGAAGUCCAGUCCUUCAGUGGCAUUACAGCCUUACUCCUUUGGGACUUUGGUGUGUACUGAAGACUAGCUGAGAUGUCCAGCCUCGUGAACUGAACAGCUACUGGAUUCUAAAACAGUCAUUGUUGGAAAAGUCAGACUACAGCCUAAGCCACACUAAUAAACCGGGUUGCGAGUGCACAUGCACUCUCAGUUCUGUUUCUCUAGAGAACCCUGACUAAUACAACCAGGAUAGUGAUCUUAAGUUAGCAGACUGCAUCAGAAUCAUGGGAAACAUUUUACAAAUCAUUUUAUGGAAGCAUCUAUAAUUACCAAUUCUGGUUUGCACCUUGAGGGGGAAGAGAAGAUCGUACAUGGUAAAGAUCUAAUCACCUUCUCUCCCUGUGUCUUUUUCUGAAUAAGGAGGUAAAGAUUAGUAGGUGGCAUUCAACUUGCUGUGUCAGGCUGCCCUGCUUUAUUAGAGCCAGAAGUGUGAGUGGAACCAUACCUGGAACUCCAGCAUUGACUUGCCCUUGUUAGAUUCCAGCAUGAAUCGGAAGGCACCAAUGCCCGUGUUUGGGUUGUCAGCUUCCUCUCUGUUACCCUGGUAACAGAAGAAAGAAAAAGACAAAUAGAUUCUCAGUCAGAAUUAUUUUGACCGGCAGCAUCCAAUAGAUAUUAGUCACAGUUUUGUGCUUAUGUGUGCAUGUGCAUGUGUGCUCAUCUGCCGGCCAGAGGCUAGUGCUGUUCCUUAGGAGCACUGACCACCUCCUGUCAGACAGGGUGCCAGGCCUGAGGCUCACCAGGUAGGCUAGACUGGCUGGCCAAAGAGCCCAGGGAUCCUGGAACUAUCCAUGAGAGCUACCACAGUUGGCACUUUAAAUGGGCUUUGGGGAUCAAGGCAAAUGCUUUACCUGCUAACUCAUCCUUUAGCCCUUCAUGAGCUACAUAUUUAAUUUUCAAAGAUUUUUUUAUGUGUGUAUGUUUGUAUAUCGUGUGGAUGUCAACAGAGGCCAGAGGAAGGCGGCAGCUUCCCCUUGGAGCUGCAGUUACAGACAGCUCACCUGACAUAGGGCACCAAACUCUGGUCCUUUUAGAAAGCAGCAAGUACUUUUUAACUCCUGAGCCAUUCUUCUCGCUCCCGUAUGUUUAGUUUUAAAUUUUUCAGUUGCCACAUUGAAAUAAAAAUAAAUAGUUUAAGAGUAUAGUGUCUGUGUUUACGGAGGCCAGAUAUUAAUGUUGGGUAUCUUUUCUCUCUCUCCACUUUUACUUGUUGUUCUUUGUUUGUUUUAAAGAUUUAUUAAUUUAUUUUAUGUAUAUGAGUAUAUUGUAGCCAUCUUCAGACACACCAGAAGAGGGCAUCAGAUCCUAUUACAGAUGGUUGUGAGCCACUAUGUAGUUGCUAGGAAUGAACUCAGGACCUCUGGAAGAACAGUCAGUGCUCUUAACCGCUGAGCCAUGUGUCCAGCCCAUUUUUUUGUUUUUUUUUAUAUUGUUUGAGACAGUUCUACUAUGUAUCUCUGGCUGUCCUAGAACUCAAUUUGUAGACCAGUCUAGCCUUGAACUCAGAGAUCCACCUGCCUUUGCCUCCUGCGUGUCAGAAUUAAAGAUGUGUACUACCACCA